rnacentral:rRNA from 1 species
CCUACGGGUGGCAGCAGUGGGGAAUAUUGGACAAUGGGGGCAACCCUGAUCCAGCCAUGCCGCGUGUGUGAAGAAGGCCCUCGGGUUGUAAAGCACUUUCAGUGAGGAAGAACGCCUGGUGGUUAAUACCCAUCAGGAAAGACAUCACUCACAGAAGAAGCACCGGCUAACUCCGUGCCAGCAGCCGCGGUAAUACGGAGGGUGCGAGCGUUAAUCGGAAUUACUGGGCGUAAAGCGCGCGUAGGUGGCUUGAUAAGCCGGUUGUGAAAGCCCCGGGCUCAACCUGGGAACGGCAUCCGGAACUGUCAAGCUAGAGUGAAGGAGAGGAAGGUAGAAUUCCCGGUGUAGCGGUGAAAUGCGUAGAGAUCGGGAGGAAUACCAGUGGCGAAGGCGGCCUUCUGGACUGACACUGACACUGAGGUGCGAAAGCGUGGGUAGCAAACAGGAUUAGAUACCCUGGUAGUC